GUGCACACAUCCUGAACCUUAUGGUUCAGGAAGGACUUUCAAGGAUUGCUUACAUUAUUGAAGACAUACAUGAAAGUGUGCUCUUCAUCAAUUACAAUGAGGCAAGACUUCGAGCAUUCUCUGAAAUUGUGCAGCAGUUACAACUACCACAUCGGAAGCUUGUUCUCGAGUGCAAAACAAGAUGGAAUUCCACAUAUGAAAUGCUGUCAUCUGCCAUCUUGUUCAAAGAGGUGUUCCCAAGAUAUCAAGAUAGAGAGCCACGAUAUACUUGUUGUCCAAGCAAUGAAGACUGGGUGAUGGUUGAAAAGGUGUGUACCAUAUUAGAAGUAUUUGAUUCAGCCACUCGUAUCAUAUCUGGGAGUGAGUAUCCAACAUCAAAUCUGUUUCUUAAUGAAGUUUAUCGAAUCAAAGUGUUGUUGGAUAAGCUUCAUGGGGAUGAAACUGAAGCACCCUUUAUUCAUGACAUGGUUGGAGCUAUGAAGACUAAAUUUGACAAAUAUUGGGGAGAGUGCAACUUGUUGAUGGCUAUUGCUGCUAUUUUAGAUCCGAGGUGUAAGAUGACGGUCAUUGAGUAUUGUUUUCCCAAAAUGUAUUCCAAAGAAGAAGCUCGUGAAAAAAUCAAGAAAGUCAAGGAUGCAUUAUAUGAGUUGUAUGAUGAAUAUGUGGCGGACAUGUAUUCUGAUACUUCUACACAAAGUGAGCAAAUCAUUGACAAUACCGAUCGCAGAAGUGGAGUUAAAGUAGCUUCGGGCUGGUCCGAGUUCAUUCAACAUGUGAAAUCUGCUCAAACUAGUAAGCCACAACAGUCAGAGUUGAGCAACUACUUGGAAGAGGGAUGUCAUAUUUGUGAAGAUAUGUCAACUCCAUUUGAUGCUUUAGAAUGGUGGAGAACGAGUGCCUUGAAGUAUCGUAUAUUAUCUAAAAUGGCUCGUGAUAUACUAGCUAUUCCCAUCUCAACUGUGGCAUCAGAAGCUACUUUUAGCGCAGGGGGUCGAGUUAUUGAUGCAUAUCGAGCCUCAUUGAAUGCCGAUACAGUGCAAACAUUGAUUUGUGGAGGAGAUUGGUGUCGUAGUCUUCAUGGUGUGAAGAGAAAAAACAAAAGUGAGAAGAAACCUUUGGAGAUUAUGCUGCCCAUUCCUUGAAAGUUUGAUGUUGCUACUUUGAUUAUCAAUGUUGUGGCUGGAAUUUAUGCUGGAAAUGUCCCACUUGUGCAGGUGUCAGAAUAUGUAUGGCUGAAGUUUGAUCAUGGUUGGUGUUGCCGUGUUGGUACUGGAGAGACGACUUGGUGUUGCCGAUUCGGAAGCUGCAAAUUUAUAUUUUUAUGUUGUAUUUCAUUUAAGACUUGUUACUUUUCGAAUUUUUGAUGCCUUUAAACUAUUUGAAAGUGCAUUUUUAUGCUUUCGAUGUUUUUGGAUAUCUAAGAUUUGUUAUAAUUGAUUUGGAGAAAGACUUUUGGUGAUGAAA